GACUUGGGAAAGGUCCAUUA
rnacentral:rRNA from 1 species